rnacentral:rRNA from 2 species
CCGGCGAGGGGAGUGAAAAAGAACCUGAAACCGUGUACGUACAAGCAGUGGGAGCACCCUUUGGGGUGUGACUGCGUACCUUUUGUAUAAUGGGUCAGCGACUUAUAUUCUGUAGCAAGGUUAACCGUAUAGGGGAGCCGGAGGGAAACCGAGUCUUAAUUGGGCGUUAAGUUGCAGGGUAUAGACCCGAAACCCGGUGAUCUAGCCAUGGGCAGGUUGAAGGUUGGGUAACACUAACUGGAGGACCGAACCGAC